rnacentral:rRNA from 1 species
GACGAACGCUGGCGGCGUGCUUAACACAUGCAAGUCGAACGGAAAGGCCCUGCUUUUGUGGGGUGCUCGAGUGGCGAACGGGUGAGUAACACGUGAGUAACCUGCCCUUGACUUUGGGAUAACUUCAGGAAACUGGGGCUAAUACCGGAUAGGAGCUCCUGCUGCAUGGUGGGGGUUGGAAAGUUUCGGCGGUUGGGGAUGGACUCGCGGCUUAUCAGCUUGUUGGUGGGGUAGCGGCUUACCAAGGCUUUGACGGGAAGCCGGCCUGAGAGGGUGACCGGCCACAUUGGGACUGAGAUACGGCCCAGACUCCUACGGGAGGCAGCAGUGGGGAAUAUUGCACAAUGGGCGGAAGCCUGAUGCAGCAACGCCGCGUGCGGGAUGACGGCCUUCGGGUUGUAAACCGCUUUCGCCUGUGACGAAGCGUGAGUGACGGUAAUGGGUAAAGAAGCACCGGCUAACUACGUG